rnacentral:lncRNA from 1 species
GAAAAUGCUAGCCAGAUGUCCGAUCUUAUAGGGGGUUACUUAAGUUGUCUAACAUUAGAUAUGUAUGAUCGUUAUCGCCUGUUAAGUAGCGUAAACUUUAAUCACUUCAAUAUUUUUCUUCCACCAAAUGAGUAUGAUUUGUGUAAUGAACAAGCUGUAGGGUCAGGCCUUUCAAAUCAACAGUGAUUGGUUGAAAUAUCUUCAAAAAUAAUGAGAACUUAUUUGUUGAAAAU